rnacentral:rRNA from 1 species
UACGUAGGGUGCGAGCGUUGUCCGGAAUUAUUGGGCGUAAAGAGCUCGUAGGCGGCUUUUCGCGUCGGCUGUGAAAGCCCGGGGCUUAACUCCGGGUCUGCAUUCGAUACGGGCAGGCUAGAGUUCGGUAGGGGAGAUCGGAAUUCCUGGUGUAGCGGUGAAAUGCGCAGAGAUCAGGAGGAACACCAAUGGCGAAGGCAGCUCGCUGGGACGGUACUGACGCUGAGACGCGAAAGCGUGGGGAGCAAACAGG